UCACUCCUCAACUUUAUGUCUAUCUUUCUUUUUAUAGUCGAUUGACAUCGCAUUUUGUCUCAUUUUAUUUUAUUCAAUAUUCUACAAAAUAUUCCAGAAACGAACAAUCGAAAUUCAGGGGCGGAGUUGCAAAAAAAGCCGCAUUAAUUAUGAAUCAACCCAAUCCCAACAUGGAGAGAUUUUUCGAAUGAUACUGCCUCUAAAAUAAAAGGACCAAGGUCCUUCUUAGAAAAGAAGAAAAAAGAGUGACAGUCGCUAUCUGUUGGCCCCUCUCUGGGAGCAGCCGCGGUGGAAUUAAUAGCGUAACCUCGCCGAUCGUAAAGCAGCCGACCGGUAGCUGGAAGACCUGUCACAUUCUCCCAUGGUGAUCCCAGAAAUCUGAGAAACCACCUAAACUAAACAUAGCGACCUACCACGCUUCGCUGGUUUAUUUACGAACGCGGGAACCCUGAUGGAAAUCCUGCCGGUGGCUUGUGCGUGACUCGUUACACGCGGACGAAGGCAAGAAGCUGUUGGUCAAGUGACGCAGGGACGACGCUGGCAUUUCUCUGAACUUGUAAUUGUUGCUUUGUUGAGGGGAACCGCUCCCUUAAGACUUCGACACCUGGAACCACCAUAUUUGUGAUAUCCAACUGGAUAACUCCCCCCGGAAGAGAGGGGGGAAGGGGGGGGGCAGCCCUAUACUAAAUCGGAGGCUGGAAUGUUUGAUAAUGAUAAGAACGAUAGAAACAGAUAGACAUAGGGAAGAGACUUAACAUCUGUUCUUUGUCUUUUCCUACUAAAUCACCGCAAUUUCUGUCACUCCUUUCGUUUUCCCUCGGAUGAUGAAUGGUCCGUCGUUAGUGGCACAACCCUCUCCUUCGUCCACCGUACAUACACACACAUAUAUAUAUAUAUAUACAGAGAUCCAAUGACACGGUGCUCCGUUUUACGCCAGCAGUAAACCGUUCUGCAACGGGCUGUGCCACUCCAACGGGACGUAGGUAAAUACACCAGUGAGGAAACCACCCUGCUGCCGGUAAUGCUUGAACGCCGAUAGACGCGGAUGGAAAUAGAAACUGGCGAAAUCUUGCAGAUUUUCUCGAUGGAGGUUGGUCUCAGGGCCGGCCCUGAGAUUUCGGGGGUCCGAGGCGAGCGCCAAAAAAGGGCCCCUUCACAUAUAUGACAUAAAAAAAAA